CUUCUCCUCCAGGGAACUCUCCAGCCUGUAUUCAGGGUACCAAAGGCAACCUCCUCCAAGCCUUCACCAAGUCUAAUCAGACAGGCUGACGCUGACAGGUGCCCUAUACUGGAGUUACCAGCAUGUGUCCUCAUCGACAUAUUGGAAGAGGUUGUUCUACA